rnacentral:piRNA from 1 species
UAAAAAAGACCUUGUCUCCUUGUCUCGAUGA